UCGAACGACCGCGGCUGACGAAGAAAUCUGCGCAGCCCGAACACGGAAGUGAAGCUCGCGCGCCGAUGGUAGUUGGGGGUCUCCCCCUGUGAGAGUAGGUCGUCGCUGGGC
rnacentral:rRNA from 1 species